CCUGGGGGGUGGGGGGCAGGAAGUGCCCGGGGAACUCUUUACUAAUGCAUUAUAUUGAGAUAUGGAGUGUUAUAAAUGGGUGGAGUCUUGCUAUCUCAAAUGGGUGUGGGGGGGGGGGGGUCUAAUGUGGGAGGAGUCUUAUAACAAAUGCAUUAUGUGACAGUGGGAGAUGAAAGAGGGGGUGGAGUCUGAGAGAUGGGCCUUAAAAGAGGGUGGGCUGUAGGAGUGUGGGCCUAGAAGUGGGCGGAGACUUAUAACAAAUGCAUUAUAUGAAAUCCAGGGCCUUAAAAGGGAUUCAGAUAUAAUGCAUUGGUUACGACUGUGAGUGGGGGCGGAGUCUGACAGCAGGUGGUUGGAGUCACACUAUUAAUGCAAUAUGAGAUUGAUUGUCUAGAAAAGGGGUGGAAACUUGAAGUUUCUGGGGGUCUCAAUAUGAAUGCAUUACGUGGGUGGGGUCUGAGAGUGUGUUGCCCAAAAGUGGGAGGUACCUGGCCCUGGAUGAGGUCAUGAAGGUUUGUAGGGGUGAUGUCAGAGGUGAGCACCACACCUAGCUACCACACACACACACACACACACACACACACACACACACACACACACACACACUAGACCCAAAUGCAUAUUUAUACAUGUGCCGAUGUCACGAUUAUCACAAGUACAAAUAUCACUGUUUAUGAUAUUCUCAGAUUAGCAUGUUUUCUCACACAGCUCCCUCAUGGCUUAGCCCUUAGCUUGCUAAUCUAAAUGUUUAAAAUCCAUGCAUGCAUUUUGAUAACAAUUUAUUUGACGCUUUUAUAGAACUUUCAUCAGCAUCGGUUACUUCUCGGAGAUACGACACUUGACACUUCACAUGCAUCCUGGAAAAUUGUCCUGAUAAUCUGUUAUGCGAUGUAUUAUGUUACACCAUGGGAAAAUACUCCUUCCUGAUUGGCAGGUGGGGACGUGUGCAUAUUUUUCACACGUUUUGCGCAGGAGCUCCCCAUUUUACAGUCGGAGUACGCUGCUACGAGUUAUUAAUCAGAAAUACACAAAAAGAGCCAAAUGAACCAAUCGACAUGUGAAUCUGGAGUGAUUGACAGUUGUAUUAGGUGUGAACUCUCUGAUAUGAACUGACCACUUGGAGGCCCCGCCCCUUUCUCUCCGUCUCAGAUUAGUCAUCUCUCGUUUCGUCUCUAUUUUCCUGGUUCAAAGACGUCUUCACUUUUUGCCACGGUAAACAAAGAGUGUGUAGAAAAAGAAAAAAGAAGAACAACCUUACGAAAUGUAUUGAUAGCAACAGUUUGAAACCAGCCGCAAGUUUAUUUUUAUAUCAUCAAGAAAUAUUUACGAAGCCUCUGAUUGUUUAAACGCUUCAGAGUAUCCUUGAUAUAAGCGUGUUAUCAAGGAGGCUUUAUUACACCAUCACUACCCAAGGAUUGUUUGGUGUAGGGAACCUUGUUAGGCAGUUUGUAAAUUUGGAAAUGACGUUAAAUUAUAGUAUUGUGAACGCGUGAUUAAAAACUUGCACAGUUACCGUGACAACAUCGGCACAUGCCUCAUACAGUAUAUAUUGUACUUUGCUCUGAUAUGAUGGAUUCAUUUUAUAUACACUGACUUCCUCUAGUGAAACAGGACUCA
ensembl:lncRNA